rnacentral:lncRNA from 1 species
CGAAAGCAACCAAAUUCUAAGAAAAACAAAUCUGGAUUUCACUACUUCUGUUUUCAUGCUAUCCAAUUUGAAGUUUUCCAUCAAAAUAAAGAUUUUGCUACCUUAUAAAAAAUACGCGGUACGGUUUAUUUGGAUAACAUGUUUAAUAAGAAUUUGAAAAUUAUGAGAAUGCUGAAAUGCAACACCAGUGUAAACUUAGCAGUUUAAAAAUGGUUGAGAGAUGUGGAAAUAUAGGGAAUCUGCCAAACAAAAAAUCAUACAAUAUGUUACUAAGAAAUGUGCAAAACAUAAUACCAGAGCUUGUCAUCUUCGCAGAAAUAUCACUUUAAUUUUUUUAGCUGGGAAGAAAACUUGAGUAACUGUAAUCAAAAUUUUUAUGGCUUUUUAUCGAUAAGGAUAUAGCGCUUAAUUUUUUGACAAACAAGAAUGAGGUUACAUUAUGCAAUCAUAUAUUAUUACCGAAAACUUUUUACUUGAUAUUGAACUAUCCCUAAUUAAUACUUUAGUUGCCCAAUGCUUCUAUAAAAUACUUCUCGGUAUUUGGUUUAGUUCAAUAACUCAUUCCCUUCAAUUUAUAAAAACUAACCAUAUUCUUUUCCAGUUUUUUAAAGCUACUCCCCAAAGCGCUAAGUCAUUUAAGUUAAUCAUCACACCUAAUGAGUUGCUGACUUAUUUCUAAAUUACACCUUGGAACGUUGUGUUAUUACUAUGGCUAAAAAACUAAAUUAAUGUACUUUUAUGUCAUUGAUCAAAACGAUGCCUCAUAGGAUGGUAAAAUAGCAGGCAUUGACAAAAUGAACUGGGAGUUCAGGAUAUGAUUAGAUUCUUUAGACGUUGAUAAAGGGCAAGCAACGUCCACGAGUGUAUGAUGAUGGGGAAAGUUUAUCUAUAAAAUUAAGCUAAUGGAAUAAAAAGAGUUACGAGGAUGAUAUAAAAUCAAUAUGAUGUUAUAUCCAAAGAGUUGCUAGAGUGUCAAUAAACACCAUGAAUGAGCAAGGUAGAAAAAUUACUAACCAAAAAACUAUAUCGACCAAAUUUUUCUCCCAACAAGUUUUUUUUCGUUAAAUAGCUGACUAAUUAGUUAUGAAUUUCGAAUCGAUACCCCUCAGCUGUUUUAUAUUUUCUUGAGCAUUAAAAAUAAGGAUUGGAAGCAUAUUUGAAAAAAUAGAAAAUCGUAUUAUUUUUCAACUAUAGCUGGAUACCGGGUUACAAAUCAAAUUCUAACAAAAUAGUACAAGUAAUUACAAUUUCAAAAAAUUUAUAGCCACUACUAAAUUUGAAAUUGUUUAAAAACAAGCCUCUUUUUUUUAUUUAAGAAUUAAUUGAAUGCGAUUCAAUAAGUCUUUUUUAUUUUUUUCUUUCUG